rnacentral:rRNA from 1 species
UACGUAGGGUGCAGGCGUUAAUCGGAAUUACUGGGCGUAAAGCGUGCGCAGGCGGUUUGCUAAGACAGGUGUGAAAAUCCCCGGGCUUAACCUGGGAACUGCGCUUGUUACUGGCAAGCUAGAGUGUGGCAGAGGGGGGUGGAAUUCCAGGUGUAGCAGUGAAAUGCGUAGAUAUGCGGAGGAACACCGGUGGCGAAGGCGGGGUCUCUGGGCCGAUACUGACGCUGAGGAGCGAAAGCGUGGGGAGCAAACAGG